rnacentral:rRNA from 1 species
GAGUUUGAUCAUGGCUCAGAUUGAACGCUGGCGGCAUGCCUUACACAUGCAAGUCGAACGGCAGCGGGGAAAGCUUGCUUUCCUGCCGGCGAGUGGCGAACGGGUGAGUAAUACAUCGGAACGUGCCCUGUAGUGGGGGAUAACUAGUCGAAAGAUUAGCUAAUACCGCAUACGACCUGAGGGUGAAAGUGGGGACCGCAAGGCCUCAUGCUAUAGGAGCGGCCGAUGUCUGGAUUAGCUAGUUGGUGGGGUAAAGGCCUACCAAGGCGACGAUCAGUAGCUGGUCUGAGAGGACGAUCAGCCACACUGGGACUGAGACACGGCCCAGACUCCUACGGGAGGCAGCAGUGGGGAAUUUUGGACAAUGGCGAAAGCCUGAUCCAGCAAUGCCGCGUGUGUGAAGAAGGCCUGGUGUAAGCA